UAUAAGUUAACUUUUUGACUUUUGGUCAAACAUUUUCUUGCUACUUAAGCAGUUUUGCUGAUGACAAUCUAUAGCAGUGUUGGGAAGAGAAACCACGUUAGUUACUUUGAAUUGCCAUAUGCAAAAAUGCCAACCUUGGAUGACAUUCUAGAGCACAUUGGGGAAUUUGACUUGUUCCAGAAACAAGCCACUUUUGUCUUAUGCUUUGUGUCUGCUGCUUUCUCCUCUGUUUAUGUGGGUGUUGUCUUCCUGGGGUUCACUCCUGAGCACCGCUGUCUCAGUCCUGGUGCUGCUGAGCUGAGCAGCAGAUGUGGCUGGAGUCUGGAAGAGGAGCUGAAUCUCACAGUUCCAGAACAGGGGAGACCUGGGGAGUCUCUCUCUAGUCAGUGCAGGAGAUACGACGUGGACUGGAACACGACGGGCCUCAGCUGCACCAACCCCUUAGAGAACUUCACUGGUUAUGGCAACAGGAGCAGCAUCCCGCUCGUCCCCUGUCAAGAUGGCUGGGUUUACGAUUCUUCAGGAUCAUCCAUUGUGACUGAGUUUAACCUAGUAUGUGAGGACUCCUGGAAGGUGGAUCUCUUUCAGUCCUGUGUGUGUGCUGGCUUUUUUAUUGGAUCUAUAUGUGUCGGCUACAUGGCAGACAGGUUUGGCCGUAAAUUUUGCCUUAUAGUGACAAGUCUUGUAAGUGCCACCGCUGGAAUUCUUGUGGCCUUAGCACCAAGCUACCUGUGGAUGGUGAUCUUUCGGUUCCUACAAGGAUUCGUCAGCAAGGGCAACUGGGUAGCAGGCUACAUCCUGAUCUCAGAAGUUGUUGGCCCAAGCCAUAGGAACACAGUGGGAAUUCUCUAUCAAGCGGCCUUUACAUUUGGACUCAUCCUGCUUGAUGGUCUUGCUUAUGCUAUUCCUCACUGGAGAUGGCUGCAGAUUACUGUUACUCUACCAUACUUCUUCUUCCUGUUCUAUUACUGGUGUCUGCCUGAGUCUCCAAGGUGGCUGAUGUCUCGGAGGCAAAAUGAUAAAGCUAUGAAGAUUGUGGGCUAUAUUGCCAAAAAGAAUGGGAAACAGCUGCCUGCCCAUUUUCAGAAUAUUAACCUUGAAGAAGAAGAUGGGGAAAAACUGAGUCCUUCAUUCAUGGAUCUUUUUAGGACACCUCAGAUGAGGAAACACACAUUCAUUUUGAUGUACAACUGGUGGACAAGCUCUCUUCUGUACCAGGGGCUCAUCAUGCACAUGGCAAUGGCUGGUGAGAACAUGUAUCUAGAUUUCUUCUAUUCUGCCCUUGUUGAAUUACCAGCUGCCUUCAUUAUCAUCAUUACAAUCAAUUGCGUGGGCCGUCGCUAUCCCUGGGCUGUGUCAACUCUGGUGGCAGGAGCUGCCUGCCUUAUUACAGUUUUAGUCCCUGAGGAUAUUCACUGGCUAAAAGUGAUUUUAUGUUGCAUUGGGAGAAUGGGAAUUACAAUGUCCUUCGAAAUGGUUUGUUUUGUAAACAUGGAGCUGUACCCAACUUUUCUGAGGAACCUUAGUGUAAUGGUCUGCUCUUCUCUGUGUGAUGUCAGUGGGAUGCUAGCCCCAUUCAUCGUCUAUAGACUGGCAGAGAUCUGGCGUGAGUUGCCACUUAUAGUUUUUGCUGUGGUUGGUUUAGUUGCUGGUGGAUUGGUGAUGUUGUUACCUGAAACCAAAGGGAAAAUGUUGCCUGAGACUAUUGAAGAUGUAGAAAACUUGCAUAGGAAAUACAAAUGUGCUUACCAGUAAUAGAGCAAGAAGAAGAAAUUUGGCAGGGUAACAGCGAGUUGCAGCCAUCUCCAGUGAGGAACCAAAUAAGCAAUAGCAGAGAGUACAAGGAGUCCAACAGUAAAUGCUACUUGCAAGUGAAAUCCUGCCCUCGUUGAAGAGAAAGGGAAUUUUACCACUGACGUCAGUAAGGCCAGGAGUUCAUCCAUUAACUUGUUUUGAGGACAAAGAAUGUGUUUAUCUAUUCGUUCCUUGCAUUGAAGUGCUUUGCUAAAUGUAAAUAGUAAGUACAAUAUUGUCACAUGGGAAUCUUACCUUGCCUGGAAAUAAAGUUUUUUUUAUAAAGUGUGAAGUCAUGGAACCACAAAAAGUCUGGGGAACACAAACUUCAUUUUGGACACUACUCCUAACUUUUGGAAGCCAGCCCCACUCAGGCGAUAUGUAUGGGUAUGUAUACACUACAGCUGGGGGUGUACGUCUCAGCCUGGGAACACAAAUGUACUAGCUCAGCUCAAGCUAGUGUGCUAAAGAUAGCAGCACGGAUGUUAUGAUACAGCCAGUGAUGUGGGCUAGGCACCCAAAUAGCAGCUCCUUCAAUCCAUACUUAGAUGGCUAGCCUG